UUUAACUGAAGAGUUUGAUCAUGGCUCAGAUUGAACGCUGGCGGCAGGCUUAACACAUGCAAGUCGAGCGGGGGAAGGUAGCUUGCUACCGGACCUAGCGGCGGACGGGUGAGUAAUGCUUAGGAAUCUGCCUAUUAGUGGGGGACAACAUCUCGAAAGGGAUGCUAAUACCGCAUACGUCCUACGGG
rnacentral:rRNA from 1 species